rnacentral:rRNA from 1 species
CCUGGCGGCUUUAGCGCGGUGGUCCCACCUGACCCCAUGCCGAACUCAGAAGUGAAACGCCGUAGCGCCGAUGGUAGUGUGGGGCCUCCCCA